GACGAACGCUGGCGGCGGGCCUAACACAUGCAAGUCGAACGAACUCGACCUUCGGGUCAUAUAGUGAGUGGCGAACGGGUGAGUAACACGUGAGAAACCUGCCCCGAAGACUGGAACAACCCGAGGAAACUCGGGCUAAUACCGGAUAUCCCCAUCGGAUCGCAUGGUCUGAUGAGGAAAUGCUCCGGCGCUUCGGGAGGGUCUCGCGGCCUAUCAGCUAGUUGGUGAGGUAACGGCUCACCAAGGCAACGACGGGUAGCUGGUCUGAGAGGACGAUCAGCCACACUGGGACUGAGACACGGCCCAGACUCCUACGGGAGGCAGCAGUGGGGAAUAUUGCGCAAUGGGCGAAAGCCUGACGCAGCCACGCCGCGUGCGGGAUGAAGGCUCUAGGGUUGUAAACCGCUUUAGGCAGGGAAGAAAAUGAC
rnacentral:rRNA from 1 species